AGAUCACUAGUACGAAUCAGAACUUUGUGGGCUUUCGUGUACACUCGUACAUUACAUUGAACUAAUAUGUUACGUAUCAAUACUUUUUUCCCUUUACUUUAUUACUAAAUUAUUAUUCAUGUCAUUAUUCUCUUUUAGGUUAAGAGAAGGAAUCUGCCGACUUAUUACUAGAAAGGAGAUCAGAGAAGGGUUUUGUACGUUUAUGUUUCAAUAGAGUCCACACGGGCUGAAUAAAACACACGUGCGGUGUUUGGCUUGAUGCACAACAAUAUUCAGACAACUCAUAUCACAUAUAGUUUCAGGUAGUGUACAACACGUCCUAUCCGAUUUAUUGGUGGCUAAGUAACUCUCAUCAUCCGUUAGAUACGAUAAUUCAGCUCCAUACGAAGUUAGUGAUUCAGUCGCUGAUAUAUAAAGAUUUUUUUAAAAAAUAUUACAUUACUGUUAAAAAUUUAUAAACCACUUGACCCGCAAAAAAGUCCAUAUGUUUAACCAAAACACAAUGUUAAAUAUUUUAGAAAGUUGCAUAAUUUGUUGAUAAUAAAUCUUUAUAAAACCUGUAUUGUGACUUGGUAUGUAUACUGUAUUAAUUAACAAUCUUAAUACCAUAAAUGUAUAAAAUCAAAGAGUACUAAUUUCUUAUGAUGUUUAAUGAUGAAUCUAUCAAAGCCAAGGUGGUGCCACUUUAUUCAGAAUAUAUUAAUUCAAAGCUUUAUUGAUUUUUUUCUUCUCCUACUCAAAUAUUUCAAGCCUGAAACAUAUAUUCCAUUUGUUUCAUAAAGAAUGUCAUUUUAGUUUUUUUUUUUUAUUUUAAAAUAAGUAUCAUUUUACAUUUUCAAUGCAAGUUUUCACAUUAAAUCACUUUUUUGCCCUUUUAACCAAUAGAUGUUUAGUUAAAUCAUUUUUAUUUAAAUAGUUGUAUGAUAAAUAAGGGUAGAUUAGUAUAUUUUGUUAGUUUAUUAAUCUGCGUGAAAUGUGUAUAAGUAACACUUAUUAUGAAACGAAUUGAAUAUUAAUUAAUCCAUCUAUUUAGUAAACAUAGAUGUUCUCAACCUAUGCUAUUUAAUAGUGGUUAAUACUAGUAUUAAUUAAACAUUUUGUGUUAUUGAUAUAUGCAACCUUCAAUUAACCAUCUAAAUGCGACGGAACACAUGAAUCUUCCUAAAAAGGUUCCUUUCUGAAGACAUCUUCGAAAGCAAGAAAAUAAUUUAUUACAGAUCUGUUAAAAAUAGGAUGUAGUACUAAAAUGAUUAUUGUUUACAUUAAGUGUACUUUUUGAUUCAAUACUAAUAUUAUAUAUACUUAGUAUUAAAUGUGUAUUUAGUAUGCAAAUGUGUCUUGAUACAUUUGUGAAUUGUGUCUUGAUACAUUUGUGAAAUGGUAUACUUUAAAUGAGUGUUAAAUUUUUUAAGAAAAAUGAUUGUAACUACACAAACAAAGUGCCAUUCUACCAUAUGUUCACACAUUCCGACAAAACUAAUGUAUUAAAAAUUACACACACUGUAUAAAUGACAUAACAACAUCUAUGAACUAUAUUAUGUAUACUGUUAAUAAUAACUUAACAUCAUUUCAGUAGCUAAAAGUGUAUCAAACUUCAAAUUCAGAAAAAAAAAAUGAUAAAAGGUGUCAAUCAGUCUUCAAAAACUGGACGAUAACACAUAUAAAAUAUUAAAAAUAAAAUACAUAAAUUAAAUAUACAAUUUCAAUGUUAUACAACAUGAGUAUAUGUCAAAACAUUAUUAUAGAAUGUCAGAUUUUUCAAAUUUGAUAUAUUUCUAGAUAGCGUAGUAGUAUUAAUGAUGUUGUAGACGUACUAUAAACGAUAUUAUACACAUGAUAGUUCAUAGAUAUCAUCAUGUAAUUCAAAUAGUUAUUAAUUUUUUGUUCAAAUGUGUAACAAUGUAGCAACGUUUAUAUUUGUAUAAGUAGUUGAUAUCUACUCUUUAUUUAAUUGCUUGUUUUCUUUUGAUUCAAUGCAUCUGUUAACCUUGGCCAAUAAACUGCACAUAUGUUUCAGAUUAAUGAGAAUGAGAUUAUUUAAUUUUGUUUAGUAAACUAUCUCUUCUAGCAAUAAAUGUAUGCCUCAUUUUAAUAGAAAUUGAUACAGCUAACAUAUGUAGAAGAAACAGGAUAUAGGUUUUCUGAAAACAUACAAAA